rnacentral:rRNA from 1 species
UACGUAGGGAGCAAGCGUUGUCCGGAAUUAUUGGGCGUAAAGCGCGCGUAGGCGGUUUAUCAAGUCAGAGGUGAAAUCCCGGAGCUUAACUCCGGAACUGCCUUUGAAACUGAUAGGCUAGAGUUUGGUAGGGGGAAGUGGAAUUCCUGGUGUAGCGGUGAAAUGCGCAGAUAUCAGGAGGAACACCCGUGGCGAAGGCGGCUUCCUGGACCAAUACUGACGCUGAGGUGCGAAAGCUAGAGGAGCAAACAGG